rnacentral:rRNA from 1 species
CACGUAGGGGGCAAGCGUUGUCCGGAUUUAUUGGGCGUAAAGAGCUCGUAGGUGGCUGAGUAAGUCGGAUGUUAAAUCCCCAGGCUCAACCUGGGACACCACCCGAUACUGCUCUGGCUAGAGUCCGGUAGGGGAGCGUGGAAUUCCUGGUGUAGCGGUGAAAUGCGCAGAUAUCAGGAGGAACACCGAUGGCGAAAGCAGGUACCUGGACCAUUACUGACGCUCAGCUGCGAAAGCUAGGGGAGCAAACAGG